GUAGAAAUUCGUGCAGAACAAUCAGUGAUUAUAUGCUCCUAAAAUACAAGCAAUACGGUGUUAGUGAACAAAGACGUGCAGUAAAUGGUAAUUGUGACGAUUAAAAAAGGUAGUGCUAUGAUACCUCUCCGUAAAUGAACGUUAGGAGUGGUGACACGCGGGAGCCGAUAUUUGAAAUCGGAGUGAGGAUGUACGGCACACGGAACAGCCAGAAAAACACAGAGAACAAGGCCAGAGAGAAAACAAUCAGGAGAGGAAAGAGUACGCAAUACCCAAACUGGGCCCGGCGACGGUGACUGGCCAUAGUUCACGGUUAUCCCCCUUCUCGUGGCCGGC